UACAGAGGGUGCAAGCGUUGUUCGGAAUUACUGGGCGUAAAGCGCGUGUAGGCGGUUUGAUAAGUUGGGUGUGAAAUCCCUCGGCUCAACCGAGGAACUGCAUUCAAAACUGUCAGACUAGAGUAUCGGAGGGGGUGGCGGAAUUCCCGGUGUAGAGGUGAAAUUCGUAGAUAUCGGGAGGAACACCUGUGGCGAAGGCGGCCACCUGGAAGAUUACUGACGCUGAGACGCGAAGGCCAGGGGAGCAAACGGG
rnacentral:rRNA from 1 species